rnacentral:lncRNA from 1 species
CCCCCUCUACUCUUUUGGUCUUCCUUCUAUUUAUUUACUUAUUUUUAAUAGAUACACCGUGUUUUCAUAUUCAAGAGGACUGCAUGGGAUGACUUGUGGCAUACAGGCACAUAAUUUAAUGCAGGCCCUCUCCAUGGUCAUGGUGGGCUCCCGUCAGGACAGAGCCUGAAGCACUGGGCUGGAAUUCACCAGGAUCAGUGUCCACGAGGUCACUCUUCUUUAUCAGCAGACCAACAACAUAAUUUCCUACCUUUGUUACAUUUGCCCCAUCAUGUUCAACUCAAAGUAUCGAUAUUGGGACUCCAGGACACUUACACCAAACAUGAA